GUAAACUCCACACAGGCGGGACCGGUGAACCCGAGACCUCACCAGCUGAUCUACAGCGCCGCCCUAGUAAUAAAAGUGAAUGCUAAAAACAUUAAGAAUAUACACUAUCGCUCCGUUCAAGUACAGUGCUCGAUAGAGAUGAGUCUACUUUGAUCUGUUUAAAGGCCCCGUGACAAACCUGAGAAUGAGGGCCUCUUCGUUUUUCUAUGACUCGGUAUGUUCGUUUGCCCGGGAGCCCUUUUUUCCUUCAAGUGGGGUCUCCGUGGAGUUAAAGCCGCCGACCCCCGAG